rnacentral:rRNA from 1 species
UACGUAGGGUGCAAGCGUUGUCCGGAAUUAUUGGGCGUAAAGAGCUCGUAGGCGGUCUGUCGCGUCGAAUGUGAAAACCCGGGGCUCAACCCCGGGCCUGCAUUCGAUACGGGCAGACUAGAGUUCGGUAGGGGAGUCUGGAAUUCCUGGUGUAGCGGUGAAAUGCGCAGAUAUCAGGAGGAACACCGGUGGCGAAGGCUGGACUCUGGGCCGAUACUGACGCUGAGGAGCGAAAGCGUGGGGAGCAAACAGG